GCCGUUGAAUUUAUGUAUAAAAGACCUAACUUAACCUAACCUAAUCGCAAUCUCCUUCUCUUCUCUUCUGCGGCCUCUCCCUCUUCUGAGUCUUCUCUCCUUCUCAGACAGACUCAUCUCCAUCCAAGUCUCCAACUCCAUUCUUUUUUCUUCUCUCAGUCUCAGAUUCUCUUUGUGGAUCAUCGGCAUCACCAGAAGCAAACCAAUAACGGAAGAUUGAAGAACAGAACCCAGCUAUCUUCUUUUACCCAGUUGGUAAAUAAAUCAUUCUUUACCUCUCAAACUGCAUCCACAUUACAGUCAUUGCCAGAAUCUUCUCCUACUUACAGGGUUUGUCAAGAUUGAAGAACUGAAGUUCAGUUCAUU